UACGUAGGUGGCAAGCGUUGUCCGGAAUUACUGGGCGUAAAGCGUGCGCAGGCGGUUCGUUAAGUUCGUUGUGAAAGCCCCCCGGCUUACCCGGGGAUCUGCAUCCCAAACUGCUUGGCUUGAGUACGGGAGAGGAUAGGGGAAUUCCUGGUGUGGCGGUGAAAUGCGUAGAUAUCAGGAGGAACACCGGUGGCGAAGGCGCCUAUCUGGCCCGAUACUGACGCUGAGGCGCGAAAGCUAGGGGGAGCAAACGGG
rnacentral:rRNA from 1 species